CUCCGUUGCUUCGGAUUUUUGCUCGAUUGGUAUCAAUCAAGCGGAAUGGAAAGGGCGUGCUAUGUCUGGUUUGGUCCCAAGGCGCAUGCGGUUGCCGCUUCGGUUUGGUGAUAGUAGGAGAAGGAGCUGGAGCUCGAAGGGGGGCAGGGGAGGUAAGGGGAGCGUGUCCUAAGGGGUCUAGCUGCGGGCCAAGCAGGGCUUGGCGUGGCCUUAGGGGGCGGCCUAACCGGGGCGGGUACCACAUUAGCUCCCGGGGCUCGCGCGACCGCUACCUCCGCGUCACCGAGCGGCUCAUGGGCGUGGUCCGGCGGCUGUUGGCCGGCGCGUUCGCGGGGGCCGAGCGGACCCUACGGCGCAGCGUCGAGAAGGGCGGAGGGUUCCGUUAGGGCUACGAUAUAACACCCGUCCUUGAUUAGUUGCCAUUAAAGUGAUGACGAAAGGACGGCGGCGGUGGUUAAAUAAUACGACCUGGCGGCGCCUUAGAAAGCGGGGGAACCUCCGGCCUACUGUUCCUACCGGUGAUACAAAAGUGUGAGCCGCUCUUGGAAUGCGGUUCUAUAUCCUAUGAGUCGUUCUACCCGCUUCCCUGGAAACCUGUUCAAAACCUUACGACCCUGAACCUUUUGGUUCUUAGUCAUCGAUAGUUCUAACACGCAAGGGACGUCUUUAUGGCCCUCCGACGAUACUAACUUUAACUGCACGAAGUCUCUGAACCCUUCGUACUAAAAUGACCAUCAGCAACACACGUUUAUGCCUUAACCAAACUGAUAGCAUUAGUAUAUACAUAUCAUAAACUCUUCGAACCUGGUUCGAAUAUGCUGAAGGAUGCCUUCUUAUCGAUGGCAAGUAAAGGAUAACUAGAACAAGCCCUCAAACGGUCUGUUUAUAAUCUCAGACAAUGUAAAUACGUACUGGACGCCGAAUAAGUGUGUCUAGAAUUCGGUCUCUUGUAAGAGGAACAAAGUGGACUAUGUUAGUCCCAAGUACUAAUAUUCUAAGGAUAUGCGGGUGGGUUCCUACCCAGACAAAAGUUCUUGGAAGGUUUUAGCUCACGAUAGUUCGAAUAGCUAAAACCUUCAUGUUGUAAGCUAGUAGUUCUAGUGUUAAUACAGCACAGUUGUUCUGUAAUGGCACGGGGUCUUCAAUAGGAACCAGAACCCACCUUAAUAGGUACGCUAGAAACCUCACACCCUACGUAAAACCAACUCGAGACGAGCCCCCUCCGAAAUAAAGUUUGUGUACUUUUAAACCUCGUAGAACGAUACUACCUCUUCCAAGAUCCGGGGGAAGGGUUUGUGUACUAGCGGUCUCGACUAUCUGCUCGACUCUUUAUGAAGUCCGCACCUGAUUCCGAACUGACCGGUCUCCCCCGUCGGAGUGCUCUUUCGUACUUCCGUCAUACCUUUAACGGAGCAGACGUCUUAGACCAGUACGUUGUACAGUUAGUAAGACGACCCCUAGAUUAUCUAGAAGAAGUCCCCGAAGAAGCCAUACUAGGACUACUCGCAGAAUUCCGUGCUGUUCGAGAAGUUGUGGGAAAGAAAUGGUCUACGGUGUCUUCUACACCAAUGACUCUCAUAUGACUCUUACUUUACGAGUUAAGACAUAAAGAAGUAAAGCUACACAUUCUCGAUGGUUUUUUUACCUUUACAAGACGUCUUUUACUUUACACGAUUGAGUGUAAGACAAGUUACUACACUUUCCAUUGACAACAUAUAUUUUACUCAAACAACUGUCAACUAAAUAAAUUUGGUCCGCCAUGAAAAAGUCAACUAUGUACGGAAGCUUUAGGUAUGAUUAAAAAGGGUCUGAUGAGUCAUGAUUGUCCAUCGUACGUCUUUAGAGUUUAGAGAUUGAACUCCUAUCAGUGACUCCUAAUCCCCCUACGUCACCGACCGAACGUACUUUCUGACAAUGUUUAAACUACCGCUGUUUGCUCCCUCAUGAAUUCUGACUAAAGCAUGUAUACUUGUACGGACUAAUCGACAGCCCAGUACCGUACAUGUACUCUGAAGAACGAACGUGUGUCUGUGAAGUCAGAGGAGUGUGCGGUCGUCUGAGGAUAACUUCUGAUAAAUCGGUCUUCUAUUGUUCGACACUACCGUUACCACUCUCACUCUACUUCGAUUACCUAGACGGUAGGUACCCUACCUAUGACGAGCUAGAACCGAUCUCUCCACCUAGAUUCCUACCCGAUUAACCUAUACCCAACCCAAACCGAGCCAAACUUGUUAUAGUUUAGGUUUGGGUUUAAAUUGCCGUAAGAAACGGUUGGCUACUUUCUUUGGUGCCCAUUUUAUAACACAUUCGCAGGUUUGGCUUACCCAGAUACUACAGAAGGGUUGUGUAUAUGCAUGCUAUGUUCGCUUUACGCAUGGUUAAAACUCUAAUUGUGAAACCUGUAAUAGUUUAUUCGUAUUAUGGCCAGAUUCAAAGAGUAUUUUACUGUUGUGCCGAAGGCGGCACUGUACCCGCUACUGGGG
rnacentral:rRNA from 1 species